AAAAAAAAAAAAAUGACAUGAGUGGGACCAAGCAGUGGGGCCUGAGGAGUGAGCAGAGCCUUCCUGGAGGAGAUGGCUUUGUGGCUGUGUGAAGGGGCUGUCUGGGUCCUCCUGGAGCCCUGGAAGGGGCAGGCGAAGGAGGGGUGGAGAAGGGUGACUGAGGCCUCAGUUAGGGGACACAGGCAUGUUCCUACCUCCGUCCGUCUCUCCACCUCCCCCUCAGGCGGUGCUGGUGAGGCUGUUGUGGCUCAGCCCCCACUUAGCAGCUCAGGUUUGAGGAAGUUCCGUGUGCACCGUCCAGGGGUGCGUGUGACGUGUGAGCCAGGAAGAAGUGGAGCUGGUCUGGCCGCCCCUGCAGGGACAGUGAAGACUGAGGCCCGGUUCUAGCCCAGGCAGGACGCCCCAAGGCCCCCCUCCACCAGCCAGGUGGAAGAUAGUCCAGGGCCAGAUCCUGCCACACUAGGGCAUCACAGUGAGUGACAGGGGUGUGGGCUUUGGAGUUAGCCAGACCUCCGUUUGUGUUCCAGCUUGUCCUGGCCUUGGACACGUAGCUCAGCUUGUCAGAGCCCUUCGUUUCCUCAGAGGUAAAGCGGGGAUGCUGGUACUGACUUCAUACAGUUGGGAGGGGGAAGCCACCUAUUCCUCAAAAACACCAAGGCCUCUGAGGAGAAAUCCCGACACCUGCCUGGCUGGUGACGCCGGAUGCCGAGGGCUCGUCUCUGGGCCCCGACCCACCUGCCUUGGGGUCAACCAAGAAAUGUCCUGACCCAGCUCUUUUUCCUGAAUCCAAAGCAUCAUCCAUGUUUGAGUAAGGCACAGUGCUUGUGAGCACCAAGGGCUUUGGAGGGACCUCCCCAUCCUCACUUGGCACUGUGUAACCCUGGCAAGAACUGGACCUCCUGACCCCCUGUCCUCACCUCUCUAGAACAGGGCAGUAACACCAACAUGACAAGAAUGUGAGGCUCACAUGCAGUCGGGCGUUUGAAAGACCUGGUUCGCGGUUGCCACGGUGCAAAUACUGGUUUCCUUUCUGUGCCGUGCUGGGGUCUGCAGAGGUCCGAGGCCCCAGACACCCCUGGGUUUUGCAUAGUUAAACAUUUGGGAUUCAGCCUUUCUCUUUUCUCUGAAUACCGUACUCUAACUUGCACUGUUACCUUGAGACGUAAUUUGUGUCCUAGUCUCUGCGGUUAGAAAGUUCACUAAAUAAAUUGAAGGUCAAGAACAA